CCUACGGGAGGCUGCAGUGGGGAAUAUUGGACAAUGGGCGAAAGCCUGAUCCAGCCAUGCCGCGUGUGUGAAGAAGGCCUUCGGGUUGUAAAGCACUUUCAGUGGGGAAGAAAGCCUUGGGGCUAAUACCCUCGAGGAAGGACAUCACCCACAGAAGAAGCACCGGCUAACUCCGUGCCAGCAGCCGCGGUAAUACGGAGGGUGCGAGCGUUAAUCGGAAUUACUGGGCGUAAAGCGCGCGUAGGCGGUCUGAUAAGCCGGUUGUGAAAGCCCCGGGCUCAACCUGGGAACGGCAUCUGGAACUGUCAGGCUAGAGUGCAGGAGAGGAAGGUAGAAUUCCCGGUGUAGCGGUGAAAUGCGUAGAGAUCGGGAGGAAUACCAGUGGCGAAGGCGGCCUUCUGGACUGACACUGACGCUGAGGUGCGAAAGCGUGGGUAGCAAACAGGAUUAGAUACCCUAGUAGUC
rnacentral:rRNA from 1 species